rnacentral:tRNA from 1 species
GGUCGGUUGGUCCAGUGGUUAAGACGUGAGAUUCUGACAGAUCAGCCCUAUGGCUGAAAUAAGUCAAAACUUCUCAAAUCCUGGGUUCAAUUCCCGGACUGACCU